CGCAGCAUAUUUGUCUAAAAGCUGCUACCAACGCAUAAAGGCGGGGCCCCUGCUUCUACCUCAUCAGGGCCAGUCUGAAAGAUGGGGCUUGGUUUCCAGCCUUCAGGGGGACACUAAAGCCACAUUUGCUUCCAAGGAGGGUGUUAAUGAGGACGGAAGGCCCAAAGUGCACACAGAGAAGAGAUGAAAAUGGUCUGGAAAAUAUGAACUGUGUACUCACCCUUCAAACAAGGGAGGAAUGAUUCUAACAUUG
rnacentral:lncRNA from 1 species